AGAGGACUUCCAAAUCAAGACAAAGUUGUCAAAUUUUGCAUUGGAUUGAAUGAAAACAAUAUAUCCAUCACUACUACUUAACAAUAUGAAAGUCAUUGGCUCUUCUGGAACUGGUACUCUAACAUACCACACAAGAAACACUCUGGCAAGAGAAAACUAAAGGCCAGCUCUUAAGAAAUUACCCAUUUGACAGAAGAACAGACUGAACAUAAUGCAUGCCCACCAAGAGCUACCACUUUAACUCAAGAAAAUGGAGAAGUAUCAUACUAUAGUGUUCAACAUAGAAAAACUGGUGGAAAACAGGAUUAGCAAGACACAAAAAUAUUUUCCUUUAAACAUUUGUUUUCUAAACCCAGUGGCACUUCAGAGCUGAUGGUUACAGAUAAGUACAGAAGAACAUAAAUAAAGAAUCCCAUAAUCCAGUGAGGAUUAACAGGUCAGAAUUAAAUUAAUCUUGAGUAAUAGACACAUUUCAUCUUUUUUAGUGAAAAAAUACAUUAAAACUGAAUUAAAAAGCUUCCUUCUCCUUUCUCAGUAACAAUGAAUAAACCAGGGAAAACUUUGCUGAAGCCAGUAACAUUAGAAAGCAAGAGAUAAAAAUAUUUUUAAUCUCUUUCUGCUGUCUGCAACCUUCCCUUGUGAAUAUAUUUGGAAUAGUGAAGUCUCAACUGUCAAAGAGUUAGUUUCUUAGCUCUAAAUCUUGAUUAAAAUCUAAAAUUUUUCAAGCUUGGUUUAUUAUCCCUUAUUUUCACAUAAAAACUAACACUUCCAGGGAGACACUACCUGCAAAUUUGCCCUCCCACAAACACUAGCAAGCAUUUUCAUAUGCAUCCUUUCCUUGUGACUUACAAGUAUUGAUUGAAUAAUUCUGUCCUUCAUUUAUUUGGUUUUGAAAAGAUGUAUUUUGCAUCUGCAGUCUGUCCUUUCAUUCUGUUCCAUUGUGUAGCCUUUUUGUCAUCAGU